CCUACGGGAGGCAGCAGUGGGGAAUAUUGGGCAAUGGACGCAAGUCUGAACCAGCCAUGCCGCGUGCAGGCAGACGGCUCUAUGAGUUGUAAACUGCUUUUGUACGAGAGUAAACGCAGAUACGCGUAUCUGUCUGAAAGUAUCGUACUAAUAAGGAUCGGCUAACUCCGUGCCAGCAGCCGCGGUAAUACGGAGGAUUCAAGCGUUAUCCGGAUUUAUUGGGUUUAAAGGGUGCGUAGGCGGUCGGAUAAGUUAGAGGUGAAAUCCCGAGGCUCAACUGCGGAAUUGCCUCUGAUACUGUUCGGAUAGAGAGUAGUUGUGGUAGGCGGAAUGUAUGGUGUAGCGGUGAAAUGCUUAGAGAUCAUACAGAACACCGAUUGCGAAGGCAGCUUACCAAGCUACUUCUGACGUUGAGGCACGAAAGCGUGGGGAGCAAACAGGAUUAGAUACCCCGGUAGUC
rnacentral:rRNA from 1 species